rnacentral:rRNA from 1 species
GUGGGGAAUAUUGGACAAUGGGGGGAACCCUGAUCCAGCCAUGCCGCGUGUGUGAAGAAGGCCUUUUGGUUGUAAAGCACUUUAAGCGAGGAGGAGGCUACCGAGAUUAAUACUCUUGGAUAGUGGACGUUACUCGCAGAAUAAGCACCGGCUAACUCUGUGCCAGCAGCCGCGGUAAUACAGAGGGUGCAAGCGUUAAUCGGAUUUACUGGGCGUAAAGUGCGCGUAGGUGGCCAAUUAAGUCAAAUGUGAAAUCCCCGAGCUUAACUUGGGAAUUGCAUUCGAUACUGGUUGGCUAGAGUAUGGGAGAGGAUGGUAGAAUUCCAGGUGUAGCGGUGAAAUGCGUAGAGAUCUGGAGGAAUACCGAUGGCGAAGGCAGCCAUCUGGCCUAAUACUGACACUGAGGUGCGAAAGCAUGGGGAGCAAACAGGAUUAGAUACCCCAGAAGUCC